AUGGAAUUAGCAACAAAUAUUACUGAAGUUUUUGCUUCUGAAAAGACGGACAUUUACUACAUUCCCUCCCAGCGCAUCGGGAAAAAAAGGAAAUUGCCUACGGGAAAAUUAUACAAUAAAUAUACUAAUCUGUGCAGAAAAUACAAGGAAGAUCGAGUGCGAGCCAUCCCCAAGAAGGUUCUUGCGCUGCCAUGUUUUAACUUUGAUUUAGAGCAGCUGAGUGAAGAAGAAUUCAAGAAAAUUUUAAGAUGGCUCAACUGUAGCACCUCUCCCUGGCAUUUGGUCAAAGAAUACUGGGCAGCCACAGCCAACAAGAGACUACAUUUAUUCGAAAACUCAAGCGUUACAAUCGAUGAAUACAUUGAAGAACUCCCUUCUCUAUCAGAUCCAGUCGCAUCAGAAUUGAUCCAAAUUGACUUUAAUGUGAAAUAUAAAGCUUAUUCAGACUGUCUUUUCAUCAAAUGGCCGGACCUCAAGAAAGAUAUCUUUGCCCAUGCUGAAAAAGUUUUUACAGAAGAUCGUACUUUUGCCGCUACAAUCAAGUCCUGUCCGAUAAAUAUAGACUUUAAAAGUGAAGACGACUUUACAGCAGUUUAUCUCCUUCUACAUCUUAUUCCGACAGGAACUGUGUCAAAUAACAAACGACGUUUUUCACCGGACGAAGAAAAUCCUUCAUCAAAGAAGACCUUUCGACCAUCGCGUUCAGAAGUGAUCGAAGCUUUUAUUCUACGCUGUACUCCAGGCACACUAAAAACGCGUGUGGAAGAACGUGUGAAAACAUGUAAGAAAUAUGGUAUCCGCUGCCAAGCUUUUAUAAUUAGAGUAGAAGACAAACCUAAGACAACAUACAUGGUUUUUUUCAAUGGUCUCUAUUAUACUGCCCCUGAUAUCAUAAGCGCUAUAGAUCAAACUUUCAAGAUUUUUAUGGUCUUUGGUGCCACCUACCCCGCUGAUGUCUUAUAUGUUUGGAAUUUUAUCCAAAAAUAUGUCUACACAAUUUCCACUGAAUAUGAUGUCAGCUCUGGAGCACUAUUUGCUCUUGCUUUAGAUUUAAAUUUGAAAUGAUUCGAUCAUUAUUUGAUAUCACCAAAAUUUUCCACUGUAGUUGGUGAUUUCUGAAUUAUUCUUCAAAUUUCCUCUUUAUUAUUCAUUUAUCCAAAAAUAUGUCUACACAAUUUCCACUGAAUAUGAUGUCAGCUCUGGAGCACUAUUUGCUCUUGCUUUAGAUUUAAAUUUGAAAUGAUUCGAUCAUUAUUUGAUAGCACCAAAAUUUUCCACUGUAGUUGGUGAUUUCUGAAUUUUUCUUCAAAUUUCCUCUUUAUUAUUCAUUUAAAAUUUAAAAACAUGGCCGUCUGCUGGAUUUGUAAACCUAAAAGGUCCUUUUUAAACUUAAAAAAACUAUUUAAACAUUUAAAAGACAUUCAUGGAGAUGUCACUGUGUACAAAUGUCGCCAAAACGACUGCAAUCGCAUUUAUUCAAAGAAGAAGUGCUUUGUUCAACAUUAUAAGCGGGAGCAUGGAGAUAAUUCCUCCUCUAUCUUGGAAGAUGAACAGAUAACACAGGAGAUACCUGAUCAUUGUAAUUCUAUUAAUGUCAGUGAAAUGGAACUACCUCCUGUUCCUGAACCCGACUUUUCAGAUCUUUCCUCCAACAAUGACUUAUUAUCAACAGAAAAUGUAUCUGAUACCAACCCCUCCAACCCUAAGAAAGAUAUGCAUGAGCUGUUACUGGAUUUUCUCAUCUCCCUUUAUUCACAUGGGUCCAUUCCGCGAAAUCAGGUCCAAAAUAUAAUCGAAACUCUGUCCAGUUUAAUUCUUUCCAUAACUGACACCCUAAAAAUUCAAGUAGAAAAUGCUUUUUGCAGCAUUGAUGACAAACAAAAAAUCGAUUCAAUCUUUUCUGGUUAUGACAAUAUAUUUGAGAAGUUUGGGACGGAAUUUAAAAGAUUUAAAGAAUUUGAAAAAAGUAAUCUCCUGAUAAAGCCUGUGCCUUAUUUUAUCGGUCAAUUUAUAGGACAGAAAAAAGUUGGCAAUAAAAGAAUUCCGAUGCCUCUCCGAUUAGAAGGCCAUCACAUGCCACUUAAAAAAAUGUUUGAACUUUUUUUAAUAGAAAAAAUGUAUUGAAAUCCAUUCUUGAUUAUCAGCACCUUCUACUACAAGACACAGAAACAUUAAGUAAUUUCAUCCAAGGUGAAUUCUGGCGAAAAAAAAUUGCAACAGAUAGUCGCACUUUGAUUCCUUUUUUUAUCUACAAUGAUGAUUACGAAGCGGGCAACCCCCUUUCCAGUCAUUCUGGCAUCCACAAAAUUUGUGGCACUUACGCUUCUCUUCCUACCCUCCCUCCACAGUUUCGAUCAAAAUUGGAUAGUAUAUUCAUAACUCUGUUGUUUCACUCAGCAGACAGGAAGAAGUUUGGUAACAAGCGAACAUUCUCCAUUCUAAUUAACGAAAUAGAUGAGAUUCAUAGAGAUGGAAUUCAUAUUGAAACAGAUGAUUUUAAGGGGACCAUCUUUCCUGUCCUGGUGUUACUAGUAGCUGAUAAUUUAGGAGUGCAUAGUGUGUGCGGUUUCUCUGAGAGUUUCACAUGCACUU
rnacentral:lncRNA from 1 species